AACGAACGCUGGCGGCAGGCUUAACACAUGCAAGUCGAACGCCCCGCAAGGGGAGUGGCAGACGGGUGAGUAACGCGUGGGAACGUGCCCUUCGCUUCGGAAUAGUCCCGGGAAACUGGGUUUAAUACCGGAUACGCCGUAUUGGGAAAGAUUUAUCGGCGAAGGAUCGGCCCGCGUUGGAUUAGCUAGUUGGCGGUGUAAUGGACCACCAAGGCGACGAUCCAUGGCUGGUCUGAGAGGAUGAUCAGCCACACUGGGACUGAGACACGGCCCAGACUCCUACGGGAGGCAGCAGUGGGGAAUCUUGGACAAUGGGCGCAAGCCUGAUCCAGCCAUGCCGCGUGAGUGAAGAAGGCCUUAGGGUUGUAAAACUCUUUCGCCGGAGAAGAUAAUGACGGUAUCCGGAGAAGAAGCCCCGGCUAACUUCGUGCCAGCCGCCGCCGUAAUAC
rnacentral:rRNA from 1 species